UCCACAGUGAAAUGGUGGUUGUACAGUUGGUGAACAGCCCACAGAGAGGAUGCUGGAGCUGUGGCUAAGUGGGAAAUAGUGGCCCCUGGGAUUGCCAAGGCUGAGAGAGCCGCUGCCCGGCUGCGCCGCGCCCUCGCGGAUCGGGGAGUCCAAUUUAAGCCGGCGGAGUUGGCGGAGCGGAGGCGCUGCGGCGGCGGCGGACUCGGCGCGGCUCGGGCACCUCUCUUCCUUAUCUCUUACUCAAACUUCUCUGCUCCAACUCAGCUCCAUCGCCAUUGGUCUGACGCAGCGCGCGGGGACGUCAGGCGAGCGCCGCGCCCAUUGGCUGCGGGGCGCGGGGCGCAGCUGUUCUGAUUAUCAUAUUUCAGCCUCGUCGCUGCCGAGCGCCACUGACCGCUCGGCGAGCCCGCGGGAGAGGAUUAGGGCUCCCGGGGCAACUUGCUCGGGGCUCAGACCGCUCUCCCCGGCUGCUCGGGCUGCCCGGCUGCUCUGGCUUUUGGCCUCCCUCUCCUCCUCCUCCUGCCCCCUCCCGCGCUCCUUCCCGGCCGCGCCGCCAGCGCCCUCGCCUCCUGUCGCGCUGCUCCUCCGCCCUGCGCUCCUGGGGUCCCCGCUGUCCGGCUGGCCGUGUUGCGCGCGGGGCUCACUUUUCUGCCGCCGGUGGCGAGUGGCUGUUCUUCUUGGUGACGGCUUAUUGACGAUGAAUCAAGAGAAUCUGCGCUCUAAUUUCAGAGAAAAAGGGAAGGGAUCUUCUUUAUGUACCAUUGGGAACAGGCAAUUUUCAUCUGCGCCGGAGUUCUGCGUGGAGCCCAGGUUGCAGCCAAAAUGGAAAAAUCGAACUGAAUCUACACCCCACUGCCCUAACUCCUGCUAG
rnacentral:lncRNA from 1 species